GAGACCAUAGUUUAAUGGUAAAACAUGUGCCUUUUAAGCAUUAGCAUCUGGGUUCAACUCCCAGCGGUCUUA